AACGAACGCUGGCGGCAGGCUUAACACAUGCAAGUCGAGCGCCCCGCAAGGGGAGCGGCAGACGGGUGAGUAACGCGUGGGAAUCUACCCAUCCCUACGGAAUAACGCAUGGAAACGUGUGCUAAUACCGUAUACGUCCUUCGGGAGAAAGAUUUAUCGGAGAUGGAUGAGCCAGCGUUAGAUUAGCUAGUUGGUGGGGUAAAGGCCUACCAAGGCGACGAUCCAUAGCUGGCCUGAGAGGAUGAUCAGCCACACUGGGACUGAGACACGGCCCAGACUCCUACGGGAGGCAGCAGUGGGGAAUAUUGGACAAUGGGCGCAAGCCUGAUCCAGCCAUGCCGCGUGAGUGAUGAAGGCCCUAGGGUUGUAAAGCUCUUUCACCGGUGAAGAUAAUGACGGUAACCGGAGAAGAAGCCCCGGCUAACUUCGUGCCAGCAGCCGCCGUAAAAC
rnacentral:rRNA from 1 species